UCUUUCUGUAUGAAGUGCUUCAUAGUGAAUUUAAGACAAGAAAGGAACCACAAUAUACAGUAUUCAGAAAAGUAUUGAUCCAUGCACUCAGCUGAAUGUAUAAUCUUCCAGGUUUUCAGUCGGCACUUAUCUAAAUGAUGACAUUUGUUACACAUCUCUAGUUUCACAAUUUAUUAAGGUCGACGAAUUUAUUAAGUAUCUGAAGACACCAAAGCUGAGGCGGACAAUUUUUACAUACAAUCCACAAUCCGAUAUUAGAGGGGGAAAACCCGCUUAGCAGUUUGUUCUUUUUUGCUUUUCAUUUCCUACAAAUUUCCUCGUUGUCUUUCUUCGUUUCUCUUUAAACCACUUUCUGCAUCUCUUCCACUCUCUCUCGCCCUUUCUCUCUCUCUCUCUCUCUCUCUCUCUCUCUUUCACUCUAACUUGCAUGUGGUCUUUCUGACUGUCUGCCUGUCAUUCUUUCCCCGUCUCUUUCUCUCUUUCUCCCCCUCUCUCUCUCUCUCACAUACACUGUUUCUCUUUCUCUUCCAAAUCUUUCUCUUUCAUACAUACUCUUUUUCUUCCCUCUCUUCCUCUCUCUUUCUUUCUCACUCUGUCUACCACCUUUUUUCUCUUAAUUUCCUUAACUCACGAUCUCUCGCCCUCUCGUUCCCUCUCUCUUUUUCACAUUCCCUCUCUGUGUUUCUAUUUCCAUCGUCCUCUCUCACUGUCUUCUCUCUCUUCUUUCACUCCCUUAAACUGAGUGUCUUUCACUCACUCAUACUCAGCAUAUACUCUCUCUCUUCUCUUUUACUGCAACUAACACUGUCUUUGUUUCACUCAUACUCGAUCUCCCUUUCUUUCCCUCUCACUCACGCAUCUUAAUUAUAUUCUGCCUGAUUAUCCUCCCACUUCCUCUCUCUAAUUUUUAAAUUCGAAAGCUUAAAAUCAGAAACAGUAACAAUUCUCCUACUUUUCCCACCGCAAAUAACUUGCCUACAGCAAAAUUUUUAGAAAACCGAGGUGAUUCGAUUUCUACCCAUAUAUCUGCUGAAAUGUUUCUGCCUCGUCUAGAGCAAAAUUUUCUAACAGUUCUUUACAGUUUAACAACAUUUGUUUCAAUUUCUGGUAAUAUAUUAUCAAUAAUAGUCUUCGCCAAAGGUAAGAAAUGUAAAACGGACAUUAAACCUUACCUUCUCAAUUUGGCAGUUGCUGAUCUUAUCAUGGGAAUAUUCUGGUAUCCAUUCAUCUUCAUAUUAAUCUUUAAAAACGAAUUGGCUUCACACCCGGUCUUUUGCACUCUGGUUAGUUAUCUUCAGUCAUUUUCUGUAAACAUGAGUUCCUUCAUGAAUGUGGCGAUUGGUGUUGAUCGACUUAUCGCUGUUUUGUUCCCACUAAAAUAUCGGAUAACGACGUCUAGAUCUAGGCCUACAAUCGCCCUGAUCUGGUUGUUGUCGGCAGCAACAUCUUCCGUACCCCUUUUUUUCAUCAGAAUUGAAAAAGUUAACCAAGGUGGAAAAAACCAUGUGAUAUGCAUAAGUGACUGGGAAAACUCGUCGCAUUAUUUCAUUUACGUGUGGGUGAUGAGCAUUUGUACUAGCUUCCUGCCUUUUACUAUGCUAACUGUAACUUACGCAAUACUUGCUAACUUCUUGUGGAAGAGGAUAACACCAGGAAAUGAGAACCAGAUUAGGGACCAGCUGGCCACAAGAGCCAAAAUAAAGGUUGUAAAAAUGCUGUUUGUAAUUGUUGUCCUUUUCGGUUUAUGUUGGAUGCCUAUCACUAUAGCUCAACUGAUCCUCAUACACAAUGCUGAAUACUUUCGUAAUUCCUUAUCCGUACAUAUCUUAUAUUGCUUUUCCUGCAUUGGUUAGCUCUUGCCCACACAUGUGUGAACCCCAUCAUCUAUGGAUUCAUGAAUGAUAAAUUCAGAGAUGAUUUAAAAGAACUGCUGAAGAAAGCACGGUCCUUUCCAUGCAUAAGAUCAACAAAUGAUCGUCGGAGAUUGAACUACGGCGAAGAGAAAUAAUUUAGGGGAAUUGAAGAAUAAGGAACUCAAUCUUUGAACUUUGAGGGGAAAAAAAUGGUCGUCCUAGCUGAUUGAUGGCAAAGGAAACGUGAUUCCGAGGGAGAGAUAAUUUUGUUAAUAUCUCAGGAACAGAAGUAAUUUCGGGCAAAGAUUAAGUGAAACAUUAUACAUUUCGCUCAGCACCAACCUUAAAAUACGCGCAUGCGCGCGCGCACACACACACAUAUACACACACACACACACAUAUAUAUAUAUAUUAAGGCGGUGCUCCAGGAUGGUCGCAGUUAAAUGACUGAAACAAGUAUAAAAGAAUAAAAGAAUGUAUACAUACAGACAUACACACACACACACACACACACACACACACACACACACACACGUAUAUACUAAUAAUAACUCAAAGAUGGAAUAAUUAAAUGCAUCACGACGCUUAUUUCCUAAUGUAACAUGUUGCUUUUGACUAUAAUCCGGAUCCAUAGCACGAUUACAAUUUAAUAUUACCGUGCACAUAUGAACUCUUUCUCCAAUCCAAAUUCUAAAUCUUCUAUAUCCUUAUCAACUUAUAUACACAACCUCAAAUCUCAAAGUGUUUCCUUUACUCCAUCUUUUACUCUAUAUUGCAGAAUUGUAAUUUUAACGAGUUUUGACUAUUUAUCACCUGGCGAGAUACAUCUGCACCACCAGGUUCUCCUGAACCUGUUGUUGAGUGAGCCACCCGUGAGGGAUCGAUGCUAGUUGUGUCGAAACAAAUGUAAUCAAUAAUAAAUUCUCGUAUAUUCCA